CCUACGGGUGGCAGCAGUGAGGAAUAUUGGUCAAUGGGCGCGAGCCUGAUCCAGCCAAGUCGCGUGAGGGAAGACGGCCCUACGGGUUGUAAACCUCUUUUGCCGGGGAGCAACAGGCGCCACGUGUGGCGCCACUGAGAGUACCCGGAGAAAAAGCAUCGGCUAACUCCGUGCAAGCAGCCGCGGUAAUACGGAGGAUGCGAGCGUCAUCCGGAUUUAUUGGGGUAAAAGGGUGCGUAGGCGGAGCGGUAAGUCAGGGGUGACAUGGAGGGGCUAAUCCCCCUCCCGCCAUUGAAACUGGCGCUCUUGAGUGGAAGAGAAGUAUGCGGAAUGCGUGGUGUAGCGGUGAAAUGCAUAGAUAUCACGCAGAACCCCGAUGGCGAAGGCAGCAUGCCGGCUUCCUACUGACGCUGAAGCACGAAAGCGUGGGGAUCGAACAGGAUUAGAUACCCGAGUAGUC
rnacentral:rRNA from 1 species